rnacentral:rRNA from 1 species
UACGUAGGGGGCAAGCGUUGUUCGGAAUUACUGGGCGUAAAGGGCGCGUAGGCGGCCUUCUAAGUCAGACGUGAAAUCCCUCGGCUCAACCGGGGAACUGCGUCUGAGACUGAAAGGCUUGAAUCCGGGAGAGGAAUGCGGAAUUCCAGGUGUAGCGGUGAAAUGCGUAGAUAUCUGGAGGAACACCGGUGGCGAAGGCGGCAUUCUGGACCGGCAUUGACGCUGAGGCGCGAAAGCCAGGGGAGCAAACGGG